rnacentral:rRNA from 1 species
GCACUUCGGGAUAAGCCUGGGGAACUGGGUCUAAUACCGAAUAGGACCAUUUAGCGCAUGCUUUAUGGUGGAAAGCUUUUGCGGUGUGGGAUGGGCCCGCGGCCUAUCAGCUUGUUGGUGGGGUGACGGCCUACCAAGGCGACGACGGGUAGCCGGCCUGAGAGGGUGUCCGGCCACACUGGGACUGAGAUACGGCCAGACUCCUACGGGAGGCAGCAGUGGGGAAUAUUGCACAAUGGGCGCAAGCCUGAUGCAGCGACGCCGCGUGGGGGAUGACGGCCUUCGGGUUGUAAACCUCUUUCAGCAGGGACGAAGCGCAAGAGACGGUACCUGCAGAAGAAGCACCGGCCAACUACGUGCCAGCAGCCGCGGUAGUACGUAGGGUGCGAGCGUUGUCCGGAAUUACUGGGCGUAAAGAGCUCGUAGGUGGUUUGUCGCGUUGUUCGUGAAAUCUCACGGCUUAACUGUGAGCGUGCGGGCGAUACGGGCAGACUGGAGUACUGCAGGGGAGACUGGAAUUCCUGGUGUAGCGGUGGAAUGCGCAGAUAUCAGGAGGAACACCGGUGGCGAAGGCGGGUCUCUGGGCAGUAACUGACGCUGAGGAGCGAAAGCGUGGGGAGCGAACAGGAUUAGAUACCCUGGUAGUCCACGCCGUAAACGGUGGGUACUAGGUGUGGGUUUCCUU